rnacentral:rRNA from 2 species
GCAGUCGAACGAGCUGCGCCUAAUGAUAGUUGAUGCUUGCAUUAGCUUGACUUAAGUUAGCAGCGAGUGGCGAACUGGUGAGUAACACGUGGAUAACCUGCCCAGAAGAAGGGGAUAACACCUGGAAACAGAUGCUAAUACCGUAUAACAACGAAAACCACAUGGUUUUCGUUUGAAAGAUGGCCUUUGUGCUAUCGCUUUUGGAUGGAUCCGCGGCGCAUUAGCUAGUUGGUGAGAUAAAGGCUCACCAAGGCAAUGAUGCGUAGCCGACCUGAGAGGGUAAUCGGCCACAUUGGGACUGAGACACGGCCCAGACUCCUACGGGAGGCAGCAGUAGGGAAUCUUCCACAAUGGACGAAAGUCUGAUGGAGCAAUGCCGCGUGAGUGAAGAAGGGUUUCGGCUCGUAAAACUCUGUUGUUAGAGAAGAACGGGCGUGAGAGUAACUGCUCACGUCGCGACGGUAUCUAACCAGAAAGUCACGGCUAACUACGUGCCAGCAGCCGCGGUAAUACGUAGGUGGCAAGCGUUGUCCGGAUUUAUUGGGCGUAAAGCGAGCGCAGGCGGUCUUCUAAGUCUGAUGUGAAAGCCUUCGGCUUAACCGGAGAAGUGCAUCGGAAACUGGGAAACUUGAGUGC